GGGCGACGGGUAGGGGCGGGGCGGGAGGCGGAGGUGCCGCGUAGGCCGAGGAGGCCGGCCCGCCCGGCUGGGAGCUCGAGCCCCAUGCGCGGCCGCCUCCCCCCACGAUGUUCCCCUCCCGGAGGAAAGCGGCGCAGCUGCCCUGGGAGGACGGCAGGUGGGAUAGUUCCCCAUGUCCACCUCCCCGGUCUCCACCCCAUCCCCAGAAAGGGCUCAGAGGGAGAAUCAGUAGAGACUCCAGCCUUCCCAGGCCACUGGCAGGAUUGGGUUCUGCUCCCCAUCGGAAACCCCCACCACAGGACAAUGGGGGGUCCAGGCUGCUUCCCAGCAGCCUUCCCCGGAAAUGCUCCGUCUUCCACCUCUUCGUUGCCUGUCUCUUACUGGGCUUCCUCUCCCUGCUCUGGCUGCAGCUCAGCUGCUCUGGUGACAUGGCCUGGGCAUCCAAGGGACAAGGGCAGGAGACCCCAGGUCCACCCCGGGCCUGCCCCCCAGAGCCGCCCCCUGAGCACUGGGAAGAAGAUCCAUCAUGGGGCCCUCACCGCCUGGCAGUGCUGGUGCCCUUCCGAGAACGCUUUGAGGAGCUCCUGGUCUUUGUGCCCCACAUGCAUCGCUUCCUGAUCAGGAAGAAGAUCCCACACCACAUCUACGUGCUCAACCAGGUGGAUCAUUUCAGGUUCAACCGGGCGGCACUCAUCAAUGUGGGAUUCCUGGAGAGCAGCAACAGCACAGACUACAUCGCCAUGCACGACGUGGACCUGCUCCCUCUCAACGAGGAGCUGGACUAUGGCUUCCCUGAGGCAGGGCCCUUCCACGUGGCCUCCCCAGAGUUCCACCCGCUCUACCACUACAAGACCUAUGUCGGCGGCAUCCUGCUGCUCUCCAAGCAGCACUACCAGCUGUGCAACGGGAUGUCCAACCGCUUCUGGGGCUGGGGCCGUGAGGACGAUGAAUUCUACCGGCGCAUCAAAGGAGCUGGGCUCCAGCUAUUCCGCCCCUCGGGCAUCACAACUGGAUACAAGACAUUUCGCCACCUGCAUGACCCAGCCUGGCGGAAGAGGGACCAGAAGCGCAUUGCAGCUCAAAAACAGAAAGAAACCGAUGUCAGACUUGUGGCCAUAUGGGCUAGGCCAGAACCCAGGCCUUUCACCUGCUCCAUCCUGGACCAGUGACGCCUCUCGGCCAGAGCAUGGGGCUGGGACGCUCACCUUUAUCCAGGGACUUCUACCAGCCAAGCACUGGGACGCAUUUUUUCAGGCCCAGGCCCACUGUCCUGACCAGCCAGCCGUCUCUACCUCUUCAGCCCUGCUCCUCACCACUGCCCAGAGCGUGCCAUCACCCAAGACCCUGCUCUAAGAUCCACUAUGGCGAGACCUCACGCAGCCAGGCCUGGCUCCUUCUGGAGAACAUGCUUCCUCAGCCUCCCGUUUCCGUUUUUGUUUUUUGUCCCCUCUUCGGUUGGAACUGGGGCCCCUCCCUUCUACCCACUCCUUCAUACCUUUGCUCAAGCUAGGCUUUCCUCCAGGAAUGCCUUCCUCCUUCCCCACCUGCAUCUUAUCUUGGCUCAGCUUCCCUCCGCCUGAGGUCUCCCCUGGCUGUGUCAGCCCAAGCUGGUUUCUGCCCCUUAUACUUUGCCAAUACCACAUCUGUAAUAUGGGGAGAAGACAGACUGACCUCAAAGGAAUAAAUGAGGUGACUCAUGUCUAGGGCUUGGAGCAGCAGUGGGCACACAGGAAGGGCUAGCGAACGUGAGCUCUUACUAUGAAUACCCUGAUUAACACUGAAUCCACAUGCCAUCUGGGGUUCUUUCACAUUUCUACUCCGGUAUUUCCAGCUAAAUGAUAAAAGAAUCCUGGGCACGGAGACCUGCAGACCUGGGUCAGAAUUUCAUCUGCCCCACAUUUUACCCUGGUGAAGUCACACAAAUUCCUGCUGUCACCGGAAAGGGACCAGGCCCGGAGCAGGUCUGCCUCAGGGCCAGCCUGUAGUGUGUGGGUUCUUGACUUUGUGCAGGAAAGAUGUCACAACAUGAGCCCAGGUGAUUUUGAGUACAUUCAUUGAGCCGGGGACAGUGAAACAAAGGAAGGGCUUAGGAUAGAAGGAGCAACAGGAGAGAGCCUGGGUGAGGCUACUUUGGCCUCUAGAAACAGUAUAGGAAAGAAGUGCGUGGCCCUGGCUGGUUUGGCUCAGUGGAUAGAGCAUCAACCUGUGGACCGAAGGGUCCUGGGUUCGAUUCUGUUCAAGGGCACGUACCUUGGUUGCAGGCUCAAUCCCAGCCCUGGUCGGAGCUGGUGCAGGAGGCAACUAAUCGAUGUGUUUCUCUGACAUCGAUAUUUCUCUGUCUUUCCCUCUCUCUCUAAAAGAAGAAUCAAUGGGUGCUUGCUUCGGUAGCACAUUUACUAAAAUUGGAACGAUACAGAGAAGAUUAGCAUGGCCCCUGUGCAAG